GAUGAACGCUGGCGGCGUGCCUAAUACAUGCAAGUCGAGCGAAUGGAUUAAGAGCUUGCUCUUAUGAAGUUAGCGGCGGACGGGUGAGUAACACGUGGGUAACCUGCCCAUAAGACUGGGAUAACUCCGGGAAACCGGGGCUAAUACCGGAUAACAUUUUGAACCGCAUGGUUCGAAAUUGAAAGGCGGCUUCGGCUGUCACUUAUGGAUGGACCCGCGUCGCAUUAGCUAGUUGGUGAGGUAACGGCUCACCAAGGCAACGAUGCGUAGCCGACGGGAGGGGGGGAUCGGCCACACGGGGACUGGGACCCGGCCCGGACUCCUAGGGGAGGAAGAAGUAGGGAAUCUUCCGAAAUGAACGGGGGUCUGACGGAGCAACGCCGAGUGAGUGAUGAAGGCUUUCGGGUCGUAAAACUCUGUUGUUAGGGAAGAACAAGUGCUAGUUGAAUAAGCUGGCACCUUGACGGUACCUAACCAGAAAGCCACGGCUAACUACUUGCCAGCCGCCGCGGUAA
rnacentral:rRNA from 1 species